UACGUAGGGGGCAAGCGUUGUCCGGAAUCAUUGGGCGUAAAGAGCGUGUAGGCGGUCCGGUAAGUCGGCUGUGAAAGUCCAGGGCUCAACCCUGGGAUGCCGGUCGAUACUGCCGGUCUAGAGUUCGGAAGAGGCGAGUGGAAUUCCCGGUGUAGCGGUGAAAUGCGCAGAUAUCGGGAGGAACACCUAUGGCGAAGGCAGCUCGCUGGGACGUUACUGACGCUGAGACGCGAAAGCGUGGGGAGCAAACAGG
rnacentral:rRNA from 1 species